AGCCGGUAGACUCCGCGCCAGUCGUCUUGCGUCUACAAUUUCGUCCGAAUUCUCACUAAACAAGCCGCUCGUCAACUGGACUAACUUUCAGCUGUACUGAAAGUCGCCAGUUAAGGACUUCGGCUGUUUGCAGGAUCGCAUAGGAUUUCCUUUUGGACUUUGCAUUUUCCAUUCAAGUCGCGGUGGCCGAGCAGCGCGUAACGACGUCACGGGUCACGAUCACACAUUUAAGUUUUAAGCCGAUAUGAUAUGAAAACGCAAAUUCCAAGAAAACCCAAGGAUCUGCACAAAACAAACAACUACACUGUAACCCCAAAACAAGUCAUUCAUUAAAAUUACGUUAACAAAAAAAAUAUGUCCCUAAUACCUAUAUCACAGUUUUAUCACAGUUUUUGGUUUAACCUUUCGUGCUUAUUGCACGGACGACCUGGGAUGCGAAUCCUUCGAUUUCUUUCGAAGAGGAUGUCACCGCCAAAUCACAGCUAAACCCUGUGAACUGUGCCUCGGGAGCAAUUAUCCUACUUCUAGUGGACACGCCUCCCUUUCUCCCUCCAAAAUUUAAAUCUUCUCCACCAGUCCGCAUCCACGGUGCAAUUGCAUGUGGGUCAUGCAAGCCACCGUUCGUGGGCUGGCUGGAGAUAUGAAUAUGCGAGACGCCGUCGUCUCGGCUAUCACAUAUUUUACACAGGGCGGAGUACCCCCUAUGCCCUGCAGUCCGAACAAUCGAUUCCGACUCAUCGGACGUCUCACGUCACUAACCGACGAUUUACCAUCUCUACCACAAAUCAAAACAAACAAAGUUAUAUUUACAUCAAAAAACUAAGACAAUUGGAAGAAAUUGGUGGCUUCGAUGUCCUUGCCACUACGCACCCACCCAACCUUGGGUGCCCCAAAAAGGAUGUAGGAGGCACGCCCCAUCUCCGUAUGACCGGAGUAUAUUCCUGGCGGAUUAGGAUCGGCUCAUCUCCCCGGCCAAGAAACACUUAAGGCCGAUCUCAGACCGUCGCCCAGAUGAGAAGCGGUCAAAGCGGCAACAACCGAAGGGAAAUUUUUAGACGCUUAAUGUUACAAGUGUCAGGCAAAAUCGCCGCACGGCACUAAAUUGGAGGCGUUUGCCAACCGGGUCGCCUAAUCCUGAGGAGCUCCAAAGGAAAAGAAGGGACGUGCUGAGAAGACGUAGUUGGACGCGCGGCUAGGGUUCGGAAUUAAGCCUCUAAUUUCAGAUUAGAUUUCACAGUGAGUACUUGACAAUCUUGACUGUAUGAUAUCACAAAAUAAUAACUAAAACUUAUUUAUUGCAGAGUUCAACUUCGGAUGUGGUUGAAACUGCAGCCAGAAUAGAAAAAUCGCUAGCGGCGAAAACCAGCGCGGGCCCGCACGGAGCCUAUUGGUCCGGAAUAUAGCGCAGCGUCUGCGUAAGAGGGGCCGGAGGCAGUACGUCGGUGGACUGGGAGAUGACCACGUGGUCAGCGCGGGCAUUCGUUCCCGGAACGGACUCACCGAGGGAAUCUCCGUAUGUGGCCGUCUCGGAAGCAGUUGCUGGAGCUGCUGACGCUGGAGGCUGCUGCUGCUGAUGCUGCUGCGGCUGAUGCUGCUGCGG